rnacentral:hammerhead_ribozyme from 1 species
AUCCAUCUGACGAGUCCUAAAUAGGACGAAACGCACAUCCUAGAU